AAGAAAGUUUGUUACACCAACGUCAUCUUCUUCGUUGGUUCUCGAACUGUAACAAAGACUCUCUCUCUUCUCUUUAGAGAGAGAAGUUUCUCUCUUUCUUUCCCUGUUCACGGACUUUCAUCUUUCAUAGGGAGAAAGAGUUUUGUUUUUAUGUUUUUGAUGUAAAAUAUUUCUUUUCGAUCGAAAGAUCGAUUUCUUAUGUUCGCUUAGGCGAUUGUGUUCUUAGCUUUGGUGAUUUUUUGAUGUGUUUCUCUUCAACCAGAACAUAGCUUUUCUUCAAGACUCUCCUUUUAUCUCUGUUUUUUCGGUUGAGUUCAAAUAAAUUCCGAUCUUUAUUCGGAUUUUCGAAGCAAUUCCUAGAAAAUCAAGUCAAAUCCCAACCAAUCUCGUCUCAGUUGGAUGCAUCAUCUCUGGAUAGGGUAAUAUCGGCCGUUACGUUGCUGUCAGUCCUUAGUGGGGCAGCCUGAAUAUCUCUGGAUUGAUGUUCGCCGGAGACGCGACUGCGCUCCUGCCGAGUUGGUGAAGAAGGUUGCUGAUGAAGGAGGACGGAGAUACGGGAGUCUUGCUUCAAAUUGGUAUCAACAAUGAUCAAAGAGGAGGAGUAUGAAAGAAGAAAUCCAUGAGGCAAUGGAGAUGCAAAAGCUUAGCGACGGUGGCCGAGAUUGCCUUCCUUCGCAGGACAGACACGUGUUGCGGUGGUGAAGCUUCGCUGCGGUUGUUGAGAUUGCCACUUUUCGCAUGAAGGACGCGUGGCAAUAACGUGUCUGUUGAAGCUUCUGCUUUUCUUCCAAGUGGGCUGUUAUUAGAUUUAAAUGAGCCUCUUUUGUAAUUGUUUGAUGCCAAAUGUAUGCCCGUUUGGGCCAAAAUUAAUGAAAACUUUGGUCGACAGAAAAAAAAAAAAGAAAAAAAAAGAUGAACUUGGACAAACUGGAUUCUACAAAGAAACAACGAAAAAGAGAUUUAUAUCAAUUAUUUUGUUAUAAAUCAAUUGGUGGAAGUCCAUUAUCGG
rnacentral:lncRNA from 1 species